ACACUUCACACAGGUGAGAACCAGCAGGGAUCCAGAAUUAUUUCUUGAACAUUGAGCAUACACUUUGGAGGCAAUUGUCAACGUUCGGCUUUAAACAACCAGUGGGGAAGAUGUCCGUCUUCAGCCUUUCCACACUGGAUUCAUGUACUAAUAAAUAACAGCAAUGUUUAGGUGCUUAACUAGGGUCUGAAAACUCUUUACAGAGAAGGUGAAGUAUCAUUUACUCAAUUUUACAAAUGGGGAAACUGAGGCACGGAGAUGCAGCACUUUGCCCAAAUUCACACAGCAAAUCCACAGCAGAGAUGGGACUAGUCCCCAGUUCCACAUUCUAACCACUAAUGCUCCCCAGUCAGAACACCCAAAUGUAGCAGAAAAGUAAUUUAGCUAUUAGUAUUUGUAUCACAGAAGUGACUAAAAGCCCCUCCCAUACUGAGCGAGGUACUGUACAAGCACAUUACAGAGCCGCAGUCCCUGUCCCAGAGAGCUUACAAUCUAUAGACUACUGCCUGGUUUCUUAAAAACAGAAGUUUGUAGGUUUCAUCAUCUUGGAAAUAUCAAUUAGCACACACUAAAGCCUAGCUCACAUGACAUAGUAUCUUACUGCACUGAAGUCAAUGGAACUACCCACGGUGUAAAACGUUACUCAACAUGAAUAAGGGUGUCAAAAGUGCAAUGGUUCUAUGACCGACUGAAAGAUAUAUAUAACUUCGGUCUCCUUGACUCCACUAACUCCCAUUCAUACAGUGCCUUUCCUCCAGAAGGAUCAGAAAGCACUUUACAGACUAUGGCCCCAAUCCUGCAAUCUGCUGCAUGUGUCGUGGAUGUCCACCCAGAGCCAGUUGCAAGAUUUGGGGCCUAUAUUCAAAACCUGCUAUGUUUCCUGCUGCCCUCCAUCUCAGAGGUGGCUGCAUUUUAGCCACGCAGCCUGUAUUCGUUCAUGGUCUUUAAAAUACUGUUGGGAUCCUUCUGAUUACAAACACUUUUUACUGUUCCAGCUUGGAGGAUGCCAGAGAGUCCUGUUAAAACUGGGGCUAAGCUGACAACAACUAUAAUAAAUCUCAUCUCCACCCAUCUCAUGCACUGAGGUUUCAGAAAACUUCAGACUUGGCAUUUCAUACUCUGCUGCAUUUUUCCUAUGGCCUUAGUUUAGGGUGGGUAGGGGUCUCUGGCCCUCCCACUGGGGCUUGGACAAAAGCCUGAGUGGGGGGUGAUGAUCUUGCCCAUUUCACUCUGGUGUGGGUGUCUGUGUUGCUGCUGAGUUCAUGGAGGAGACAGAUUUUAAGGAGAGAGAAUUUUUAAUUGGGCAGUAAAGAUAUAUUAUACAAACACUCAGACACCUAGACAUACACCAAGCUGUCCCUAAAACAGCAGCAGCCCCACCACCCUAAGAAAGCCCCUCAACCAACACCAACCAUUGGCUAGCAUUUGAGAAAGAGCCGGCUCUAAGGGGUUUUGGUAACAGAGUCUGGAAAGGAAAAGGUGGAGACUUGCUACUUUCUCAAAACCAAGCCUACAGCCGGCAAACUCCCAUCUGAUGCCCUCAGCACAUGCCUGCAAAAGGACAGGGAUGAGUCUUCAGCAGGGGCUGUGGCACGCUUGCCAAAGGGCGAGGAUGGGAAUGCGAGGGGCACGCAAAGCCAGACAGGGGGCGGGCCGCACGGCGGAUUGUGGAAUGCAUGCAAUGAGGCAGCGCAAGAGUGUGGCAAUCAUUCAGGAGAGAAGAGAGCAACAGAAGGGGGUGCGGCAUGUCAGAACGGGGGCGUGGCGUGCCUGCAAUCUGGCAGAUAGAAAAAUAUGCGAGAAGGCGUGGUUUGCAUGCCAGUGGACUGGGGAAGCACUGGGGAAGGCGCUGAAGUGCAUGCAAAAGAGGGCAGUGGGGUACAAGGGAUUGACAUGCAUGCAGAUGAGCUGGAAUGGGUCUGGAAGGCAUACAAAGAGUCAUGGACAGAAGCGCAAAAUGCACGCAAAGGGCAGAGACAAGGGUGUGGUGUGUAUUCUAAAACUCCAGGAACAGAGGCUGCCUCACGUACGCGGCUGCAGGGAGCCCCCGGCCUGGAGUCCCGGCUGGGAAGGGACUGCGAGGGACUUCGCUGGCAGCACACCACAGCUACAGAGCCCAAAUGCACCGGGGAGAGGAACAGGGACACACACACACAAAUACAACGCGACCAGCCACCCGCCCCAGACAGCGAUAGGCAGAGAACAGGAGCACACAGGGAGAAUGUCCACAUUUUGCUUAACUAAGGGGGACAGGUUGGCAGCCUGCCAGAUGCUGAAGGAAGCACCUAAUUAACAUAAAAUGAGAGUAGUUGCAGCAGUAACUCUCAUCUUUAAUACAUGGACAGCCUGCCGACAAAUUCACAGAUCAUAGCGUGCCGUGCUCUGCGUUGGACCAAGAUAGAGCACAAACAUAAUUUGCUCGAGCUCAGACCUUCUACUGGCUCCAGACAGCUUGGAUCAAGACUAGGUUUGGCAUGCUGAAAUCCACACCCAUUUAGCUCUGUGCUACUCCAAAUCAACAGGGAGGAGGGCAUGCUGGGGACUGUAGUCUGCCACAGGUUGGCCUGCUGCAUUAAUGAGAAAAGAGAUAUGGAAUGCAUUUAAGA